rnacentral:rRNA from 1 species
ACGCUGGCGGCAGGCUUAACACAUGCAAGUCGAACGGUAACAGGGAUUAGCUUGCUAAUUUGCUGACGAGUGGCGGACGGGUGAGUAAUGCUUGGGAAUCUGGCUUAUGGAGGGGGAUAACUACGGGAAACUGUAGCUAAUACCGCGUAAAAUCUUAGGAUUAAAGGGUGGGACUUUCGAGCCACCUGCCAUAAGAUGAGCCCAAGUGGGAUUAGGUAGUUGGUUAGGUAAAGGCUGACCAAGCCGACGAUCUCUAGCUGGUCUGAGAGGAUGACCAGCCACACUGGAACUGAGACACGGUCCAGACUCCUACGGGAGGCAGCAGUGGGGAAUAUUGCACAAUGGGGGGAACCCUGAUGCAGCCAUGCCGCGUGAAUGAAGAAGGCCUUCGGGUUGUAAAGUUCUUUCGGUGACGAGGAAGGUUGAUAGGUUAAUAGCCUAUCAAAUUGACGUUAAUCACAGAAGAAGCACCGGCUAACUCCGUGCCAGCAGCCGCGGUAAUACGGGGGGUGCGAGCGUUAAUCGGAAUAACUGGGCGUAAAGGGCACGCAGGCGGUGACUUAAGUGAGAUGUGAAAGCCCCGAGCUUAACUUGGGAAUUGCAUUUCAUACUGGGUCGCUAGAGUACUUUAGGGAGGGGUAGAAUUCCACGUGUAGCGGUGAAAUGCGUAGAGAUGUGGAGGAAUACCGAAGGCGAAGGCAGCCCCUUGGGAAUGUACUGACGCUCAUGUGCGAAAGCGUGGGGAGCAAACAGGAUUAGAUACCCUGGUAGUCCACGCUGUAAACGAUGUCGAUUUGGGGAUUGGGCUUUGAGCUUGGUGCCCGUAGCUAACGUGAUAAAUCGACCGCCUGGGGAGUACGGCCGCAAGGUUAAAACUCAAAUGAAUUGACGGGGGCCCGCACAAGCGGU